GACAGGGUGGGGGCGAGGCGGCGUGUGUGUGACUGACAGCUAGGGCAGGGUGGCGCGCGGGUUUGCGGUUCCUUAAUGAACUCUGAUUAUUUUCCGUGUGGUAAGGUGAAAGACUUUUUUUUCUCGUUUUCGAAAGCCAGGGCUCUGUAUUGCUUCUUUUUAAAUAGCAAAAACCGAAAUAUUUGUAACUUAGGUAUCAAAUUGUCAGAUUUCAUGGGCCAUUGUGUUGUUUGUGUUGUUUUUGUUUCUGAGGGGGAGAAACAGUAAAACUAUGGCGAUUUUUGAUGGUGCAGGGGCGAGAGAGAUGGUUUUUGCUGGAUAAUGAGGGUCUUGAUUUUUUUUUUUUUUUACCUAAAGCCCAUUUUAUUUCAGAAUUGUACUAGAAAGCAAUUUAAAAGCUCCUAAAUGCAGUUCUGUAAAACAGGACACCAAAAAGAAGAAAUACUGUGCGGAAAACUGCCAAAGUUAGAUACAGUUCUAUUACAAACACCUUUGGGCAUGAUAGGUUUGGGUUAUUGUUGCUGAUACUUAAGCUCUUGACAAAUGGGGACUUUUUCCUGGUGACAUCUUGCAAAGAUCAGGUUUAGUGUUGCAUUUUCUCCCCUUACAUCCUGUUUUCAUGUGGUUAAUUUUACUUUUAAAAACACUUGUAUUUCUCAAAAAAACCACAUUUGUAUUUCUCGACUAUUUAAGUAUAUCAUUUUGCUUAGUUAUAUUCAAGAGUUUUGUUAAUCUCCUGGUUAAUGUGAGUCAGAGUCAGGAAUGCAAGUUUAUUAUAACUGUGGUAUAUAAGGCUAUGAGAGGUGUGGGUGGUCAGCAUGGAGUGAAAUACAACUUUAUAAACAAGGGUCUAAAAGGAGCCGUUAAACUUGGUGGAAAGCUUUGUUGCUUGACCGGGCCAAAAGGGAAGUCUGCCUUGAGUGACUACCAGAAUUAUCUAGUGUAGUUAAUUUAAUUGAGUGGCUUUGAGUAACUGUUACAGGGACCCCAAAUUUAUAAGUUUAUUAUUAUGACUUUCAUUCAGUACAGGAGGUUUGAGCUUAUUUUUUUUUUUUAAAGUAAGCUCUACACCCAACGUGGGGCUUGAACUCACAACCCCGAGAUCAAGAGUCACAUGCUCUAUCUACUGAGCUAGCUAGGAGCCCCAGGAGGUUUUAGCUUUUCAUGAAAGGAAGUCUUAUGCCUAUUUAUCCUUCUUGUUAAGAGGCUGCUUCUGCAUGAUCUUGAUCAUUUCCUUAGGCAUUGAUGGCAUUCACCUUCUGGAGUCAGUCACUAUGAUUUCACCUGUGUGUAGCAGCUUGGCGAAGGUGAAGUCAGCCUAUACACCAGGAGCAAACAGAGCAAUAAAAAAUCAGGACCUUCUUUGGCAAAAGACAACAUGCUUAGCCCUAAAUUACUCAGAGGCUCAAGUGUUCAGCCUUAAAUUGGCAAUUCCACAGAAUUUAAGAGUGUUCUGAGUUUGUGAAUAGUAUCAUAUUUAUUUAUUUAUUUUCUUUUUAAAGCAUCAGGCUACACGUUAAGGACUUGUAUUUUUUUACUUAGGUAUCUUUUGGUGAUAAUAAUACAUCUUAUGCAGGUUAAUAUAAAAAUAUAAAAAGCUAUAAACUAUUCUUUUACAUUAGAUCCAAAUAUUAAGGUUAUUUCAUUUAACACAUGCAGUAUCCACAGGAAUACCUGGCAUAUUCAACAUUGCAUUCGGAAAGAGGUUAUGAAUUCUUGCUGAAGUCACCAAUUAUAUGACAUUGUCCACUCACUUUUGAUCACACUAUGUCUUGGUUUCACCAGAGGGAAAUGCUUGUAAUUAGUUCCCCGCCUUAAUAGGACUCAGGACAAAAAAGGUUAUUAUCAAGACAUAAAAAUUCUGAGCAAUAAUACAGUAUGGUUGGGCUCCCUAGGCAGCAGAAGAGAUAAGUUGGUGUAAGUCGUUAGUGAUCUCCAUUUCCCUGCUUGUGUGAAGCACCCAGCACUGUUGUUGUGAGGCCCUCGCUGGGCUCCCCUAUGUUCUGGGAGUGGAGCCUGCGUACUUUGAGUGUGGAUUUAGAAUUAGAGUUUUCUUCUUUGCUUUUGCAAAAAUUGUUAUCAUUUUUUCUAAGAACCCCUUCAAAACAAUGGCGAAAUUCUUACUGUCUUAUUGAAUGAGUCUAUAUUUGGAGUUUGUGGAAGAAAAGUAUGACCUAGUUAAUCAGCUGCUUUUUAAGCUCUAUUACCAACUAAGGUGAUCACAUUUUAGGUUAUAAAGGAUGAGAGUAUGGCAAAAUUUGCUGUGCAGUGGUUGGUGUUAUUGAAGGAGGAACCCCUUACUUGGAAGCUUUUGCCCAAAACUGCAGUAUGUUUUUACUGCCCAAAUACUAUGAUAUAUUUUAGGGAUUUUCAAUCUUGUCUUUAAUAAGAACCCUUUAAAAUUGCUUUAGUUAACCCAUGUUUUAAAAGAUAUUAUCAAGAAAUACAUUUGCAUUUGUAAUUACUGUGUGUUACAGUGAAGAAAAAAAAAACAAAGGCAUUAUAGCAGGCAAUACUGAACUGCCUCAAAUAACCAAUAUAACCACACUGAGUUGAUUUAAUUCCAGCCCACAAGAAAACAAAACUGUUGUUAGCCUUGUAGCUUACCCCUAGGAAAUCUUUAAUUUCUAUUGGGUGGUUUGGUAUUUUGAGCAAAACAUGUAGAUACUUUAUUACUGUUUCCAAUGAACAAUAGGGGAGUGAGACUGGGACCCCUAUACUGAGGCUUCAUGAUUAAAAGAGAAAAGCGUCGCAAAAGAAAGUUGAGCUACUUUUAAUGCAAGGAAAGAGCUGUUGGAUAGGUCAGAGUUGCAACUAUCAUACUUCAGAUCUGGCGUCUUGUGUAUUUGGAAUGAAGUGGGAGGAAAGGCAGCAUCCUUGGUGUGAUCCUUUGAAGACUGAUGGCUCAGGCAUAGUGCCAUGGUUUCAGUAUGUUUCAGGACUUGAAUUUAGAAUCUUCUCCUCGCCUUUCCUCCAUAUGACGAAAUGGUGAUAGGAAGGCAUUUAUUGUUUACGUUAUUUGAAGCAGCGGGCUGUACAUUUGUGCUUUAGUUCUGGUUAGUGUUUUAACUAUUUGCCCAUUCCUUUUAUGGGCUACUUCUUGGCUUUUAUUGAAAUGGUAUCGUGAGGAGAGCAAGUUAAGCAGUGAAAACAGAUUGUCGGAACCAGAAAAGAAGCACAUUGUGCUCAAUUUUCAAAACUCUUCUGUUAAUCUCUGUUUUGGUUCCUAAGAGUAUUGCUCAAGAAUCUGUUUUCUUAGGAGUGUCCAUCUCAUCUUGAAUAUUAAAUUUAAAAUGGUUUAUUGCAAAUUUCCCCUUUGAGGCUGGUUUCAUAUAUUGCUUUUCGUUUUGUUGUUGAAGGUAUUUGUCAUUAAAAUUUAUUUUCUGUUCUCAUUCAUUCACUGUUUUCUCAGGUACUUUUUGAACAACUGCUGUGUGCCACACUUUGUCAGGGGUUGGUUAUAUGUUGCCAAAUAAAGACAGUUCUCUUGCCUGAUGGAUCUUUCACUGUAAUGGAAACUGGACAUAAUAACGUAUGUGUGAAGGAAGUUCCUGAGGGGGGAAGGACCUGAUGUGAAAGGAACCAGCAUUGGUUGGUGAAGUAGAGGAAGAUGAGGGGAGAGUGAUGCCGGAUAAGAGGAUGCCAUUGACCUAUUCAUGGUAGGACCUGCUUUUGAUUUGUUUUUCUGGUACUGUUAUGUACAGACAUUCUCAAGUGAUUCUCUGUAAAAACUAGUUACACAUUUGUGAUAGAGCCACUUAAUAAAUUUGUGGCCGUGGAACAGAACAAAUAAUGCUUCAUUUGGCACUUUUCUCUUGUAGUUGAGAUACCUGAUUAUAUAGAUUGGAUUGGAUUGGAUUGGGAAUGCUGUGUUUAUUAGUCCAAGGUAAGAUUUUCUUGAAGCUGGGGAUAUGGCAAAUAGGGUUAUAGGAAAAUAGAACCAAAGACAUUUAGUAACAGAAACAGAGGUGACCCAAAUAAUAGAAACUGCAAUAAAAGUUGAACACUUUAUUUCUUAGUUAUACUAAUCCCUUUCUCUGUAUUAUUUUAUUCAAGCUUUAAUCUUCACAAUAGGGCUGUGAAAUAGAUGGCAUUUGGAUCCUCACUUGAAGAUGAGGAAACUGGGUUGUGGGGAGGUUAUUACUCAUUUAAGAAGAUAGAGCUAACACAUGUAAAUUGGGACUUGAACUCGAGUUUGGAUUCAAAGCCCAUGCUUUCAGUCACUGUUCUCUGUGGCUGGAACAAAACCAACAGUUCUGUGUUUCUUGUAGGCUUUUCUGCAGUCAUGUGGUACACAGAGAAGUUAAUGUGGUGGACCUCAAGUAGGCUUUCGCUUCUUAGAAGCCAAAAUGUAUGAAGUGGAGUCUUUAAUGUAGAGGUACUUAGUAUGUUAUGGAGGGGGUAUUGUUUUAGUGUAUGUCACAGGAGUAUUUGGGAUAGAAAUACUUGCUGAUUCCUGUAUAAGACUGUUGGUUGUUGCAAUGGAUAGGAGAUGAUAACUGGGAUUGGCCACAUAAAGAUUCUGGGCCACAUUUCUCUACAACUCACAAAGGUCACGGAGUUAGAAGGUAGUAUCGCUAGUCACCUGAAAGCCAACUUUUGGUAUGUGUUGCUGAAUGAGCUUGAGUUGGUUAAUGUAUAUACUGUAUUCUACUUCAGAAGGAAUAGUUAGGUCUUUAGAACUUGUUCGUCUUCGUCCUCCUCCCCCUUCUGUUUGUUUUAAACAACUGAGAACUUUAAGGGCAAAAAGCCUUCAUAAAAAAUUUACCAAUGAAAGGUAAUGGGAGCUUAAGUUAUUCAAGAUAAGCUUAUCAGGGUUUGGAAUACCAGCAGCUUGAUUUUACUGUAAAACCAAAAGCACAGAUCAUAAUCUUUGUCUAACCUUCUUACGUGUGGGUUGGGGAGAGAAGUAUGCAGAUUGUAGGAAUCACUGAGGACAGGAAGGGCAGGUAGAAGUAGGCUCUCUGCACAUGAGCUUGUAGAACAAAAGGCAUUUCUUUGUUGCUCAGUGAGUCCAAAUGCUGGGAAGGAAUGUAGAGAAAGGAAGCAGAAAGGCUUGGGUCUCACAGUGCUGCUCUACUUGCUCAUACCUCAUAAAGGCCUUCUCAAGAUGUGUCAAUUCUGGUUACCCUCGGGAUUUUCCUACUGGUGAAACUUCUCUUCAUAUAGCUUCAUCUUUUCCCCCCAGAAACUGUGAGACUUCUUGAAAUUUGUAAUAAAAAUUUUAGAUACUCCAGCAGUAAUUUCCAGGAACCACAGCCUCUGAUAUCAUGCUGCUUUUGGUCUUUUCUCUUCGGUGAUUAUAUACGUGUCAGAGCUUAUAUACUUCUGAUUUCCUCCUGGGGGUGUGAUAACAUACUGUUUCUUGAUUCUCUCAGAAGCGAUGAGUGACCAGCAGGUAGGUUUUUUAGCCACCUGAUUAGGACCUCAUGCCAAUGAGAUUAAAGCAAAGGUUUCAUCCCCAUAGGUCCAUCCCCAUGGGAGUGAUUUAGUAUAGCUCUGCCACCUCCUUUGGCCCCACAUAGCUCAGUAGCCCUAGCCUGCUGCCUUGCCAGCUACCACUCUUGGAUUGCAAGACAGAAUUAAUUGAAAAGAUAGAUGGUCAAAAAUAAGUAAGUUACUAAAGCUGGAAAAACAUAAAGCCCACGUGAAAGAACAGAAGGGAAGUGAACAGGUGUGGAGGAAAUGAAUGAGAAUGAUGGAUAGAAAGAGUCAAAGAGAUAGUGCCUACAUUUGGUUGGAUUAAGUGAAAUUAGGUUGGAACUGCUGUUGUAGAAAUGAAAAGGACAAGUAACUUACUGCCUAUCUUUGCUAAAGGGUCUUGCUUCGGUAUAUAUUAUCUACACUGAACAGGUUUAGAAGAUUACUAAACUAAAAUUAUUCAACUAUGCCAACUGAAUGCCAACUAAGAUAGUUUGAAUUCAGUUUCCAAAGCUGAUUUUUUUGAGUAUAUAUUGAUACAAGUUUGAAAAAAAAGUCUUCACAUAGGUAGAAAAGCUGUUUGUUCUUUUCAUACGAGUAUCUGUCUCAAAUAUUGUUAGAAGUCACAGUAUUUCAGUUUAGAAUUGAUGAACAUAGGAGCUGGAAAGGCUACUGAACAGGCUGUGACUGCAGUGUGAGUAGAGUCUGAAAGAAAUGAAAAGCAAAAACUCACCAGAAAAGGUCCAUGUUAGUAUGUGCUUUUCUUAGUGUUCCAGAUUGUUAACAGUAUAAUUAGAUCCUUACCUCUUAAGAGUGUACUUUUUAAUUUGUGCUGUUAGGAAGGAUUUUUGUUUUGAAAUAUUGCAAAUGAAUAUCUUUUUCUCUACUUAAAAACUGGUAUACUCGGAAUUUUGAACAGUGGGUGGAUUAUUGAUCUGUGAAUUUUUGAAGCAGAUUGUACAUCUCAUAGAUUUUGCUAUUUAAGCAAAAUAUGUGACUUUCUUAAUAGGAGGCUCUAAGAAAGUCCUUGAGUCCAAUUGAAAACCAUUGAGGAUAUCACAGAAGAGUUGAGGUUUUGUUUUGUUUUAAAGAUAUAUUUAUUUAUUUUAGAGAAAGAACGAGCAUGUGCAGGUGGUGGAGAGGGACAAAGGGAGAGGGAGAGAGAGAAUCUCAAGCAGUCUCCCUGCUGAGUGCGGAGCCUGACUCCUGGCUUGAUCUCACAACCCAAGAUCACGACCUGAGCUGAAACCGAGAAUUGGUUGCUUAACUGACUAAGCCACCCCGGUGCCCCAGAGGAGUUGAGUUUUAAAAUAGAAGUUCCUUCGAGGAGAUCUAGUCAUCCCAUCAGUUAAAAAAUGAGGUACUGAGGCAAUGAGAAAUUAAGUGGACGGUAAAGGACAAAAAGUAGUCAAAGAAUCAUAAUGAAGACUCCAGGCCUUGACUUGGAUUUCAGUUCUGUUAUCAGCACCAGUUAGGUGCUUUGAACAUGGAUAAAGCUAAAGGAAUAAGAAAUGACAAGUGCUUUUGUUCACGGGACUCAUAAAACCUAUCUGGGGGCUUUGCAGGUGUCAAUAUAUUUUUUUUUUAUUUUAAAGAUUUUAUUUGGGGGGUGGAGAGAUUGUGUGCGUGAGCAGGGGGAGGAGCAGAGGGGGAGGGAGAAGGAGGGGAAACAUUCUCAAGCAGACUUGUGCUGAGUGCAGAGCCCCAUUCAGGGCUUGAUCUUAGGACUCUGAGAUUGUGACCUGAGCCAAAAACCAAGAGUUGGACACUUAAGUGACUGAGCCACCCAGGUGCCCUGAAAGUAUCAAUAAUUUUCAAACAAAGAAUUUGAUGCCAGACUAGUCUAUUUUAUUUAAAUGAAACCUUUUAGUACCUAGCUAGAUGAAUGAGAUGGGAAGACACAGAAACAAAUGUUUCAGAGGGAAGUGGUAUGGAUGGUGAUGGACGUGUGGAUGUGAUACUUUUUUUUUUUUUUUUAAACUAAAGCAUGGGUUAUUUAUUUAUUUAUUUAUUUGACAGAGAGAGAGAGAGAGAGCUGAAGUAGGCAGAGAGGCAGGCAGAGAGAGAGGGAGAAGCAGGCUCUCCGCUGAGCAGGGAGCCCGACGUGGGGCUCGAUCCCAGGACCCUGGGAUCAUGACCCGAGCCGAAGGCAGCCACUUAACCGACUGAGCCACCCAGGUGCCCCUGGAUGUGAUACUUUAAGUACACAGACAAGUGGAUGGCUUGUUCUGUAAGAUGUUCCUUUAAAUUCUUUGGUGUAAAGAUACAGCAUUAUUAGAGAAAUAAUGCCUGAUUUACUAAGAUACCUUGCUUUCACAUCCAUCAGCUCCUGUUUAUGAUUUAGUUGGUGUAGUUUCCAUGCAGUGAUAAGCUCUUUUUUUCCCCAGGAAAGCUAUUGUGACGUAUAGAACAGAGUUGAGUUAUUUGCCCUUCAUAGUUGAUGCUAUCAACAGUCACUCAUUAGAUUUGGCUGACCAGAGAGUCUGCAAAGAUUGAAAGAUUAUUCUGUGAUUAUCUUUUGGUCGUAUUACUUUCGAUGGUAUCACAUCUAUUCUAGUUCCCAUCACUGCUGUGCUCUGGGCUUGAGAUUUAGUUGAUUUUCUUUUUCAUUUGUGCUUACGUCUACAACAUUAAGACGUUAACAUUUAGCUUUGCUUCCCAUCUUCAUGGUCUAGAACUGAGUUGCCCACUAAUUUAGCCUCUUACCACACAUGGCUAUUUAAAUUUAAAUUAAUUAAAGUUAAAUACAGUAAAAGUUCCGUUUCUCAGUUAUGCAUUUCGAGUGCACAGUGACCACAGGUAGCUAGCAGCUACUGUAUUGAACAGUUCAGGGGUAUAAGAACAUUACUGUAGAAAGUUAUAUUAGACAGCACUGGUCUAGAGUAUCAUUCAUCAUCCAUACAAUGCAAACCUUUCGGAAAGCCCUUAGGACAGUGUUAGUAAAUGGCCAUUGCCGCCUGGUUGCAUUCAUCACAGAAGAGGAUUUGCAACAGAUAAUGGGGAUUUUUCAAAGCUGGAGUUAGGUGUGCAACUGGGUUAGAAGUAGCCAUGAUUUUAUUAAUAGAUUUUGUUAAUAGAUUAAU